AUGCAGAGGAUCUCCUCCCUCAUCCAUCUCUCUCUCUUCUGGGCAGGAGUCAUGUCAGCCAUUGAGUUGGUGCCUGAACACCAAACAGUGCCUGUGUCAAUAGGGGUCCCUGCCACCCUCAGGUGCUCCAUGAAAGGAGAAGCGAUCGGUAACUACUAUAUCAACUGGUACAGGAAGACCCAAGGUAACACAAUGACUUUCAUAUACCGAGAAAAGGACAUCUAUGGCCCUGGUUUCAAAGACAAUUUCCAAGGUGACAUUGAUAUUGCAAAGAACCUGGCUGUACUUAAGAUACUUGCACCAUCAGAGAGAGAUGAAGGGUCUUACUACUGUGCCUGUGACACC